rnacentral:lncRNA from 1 species
GACCAAUGGUGCCAGGGGGCGGGCCCGAGGGAGUGGGGCGGGCCGGUGGGCCGAGCCCGGCCCGGGAACACACAGCGAUGGACGAGCCGAGCCUCCUGCGGCGCCGUGGGCUCCAGAAGGAGCUGAGUCUUCCACGACGGGGGCGCGGGUGAGUAAUUGAUUCAAUGAUUAAUACAGCAUUGCCUUCUCUCCUUCCAUUUGUGCAUCCAUUGAGGCAGGAGAUGUCAUCCCAGAACCCCCUGGAGAUUCUCUGUCUCUGCCUUGCAAGGCUGGUGUUACAGGUGGGCUGCUGUCAUGACCCUGAACUCCUUAUCAUUAGCAACAAUCGCUUUAACCACUGAGCCUUUCCCCAGAAUCUCCUUCCUUGCCCUCACCCCCCAAAGAACACUUCUCAGGGCUGGAGAGAUGGCUCAGCAGUUAAAAGCACUGGCUGCUCUUCCAGAGGUCCUGAGUUCAAUUCCCA